AACGUACGCUGGCGGCACGCUUAACACAUGCAAGUCGAACGAAGUAGCAAUACUUAGUGGCAGACGGGUGAGUAACAUGUGGGUAUCUGCCCUUUGGCCUGGAAUAACACGAGGAAACUUGUGCUAAUACCGGAUAAGUCUUUACGGAGAAAGCUUUAUGCACCAUUGGAUGAGCCCGCACUUGAUUAGUUUGUUGGUGGGGUAAUGGCCUACCAAGACUGUGAUCAAUAUCUGAUUUGAGAGGAUGAUCAGCCACAUUGGGACUGAGACACGGCCCAAACUCCUACGGGAGGCAGCAGUGGGGAAUCUUGCACAAUGGAGGAAACUCUGAUGCAGCGAUGCCGCGUGAGUGAAGAAGGCCCUUGGGUUGUAAAGCUCUUUCGUCGGGGAAGAAAAUGACUGUACCCGAAUAAGAAGGUCCGGCUAACUUCGUGCCAGCAGCCGCGGUAAUACGAAGGGACCUAGCGUAGUUCGGAAUUACUGGGCUUAAAGAGUUCGUAGGUGGUUGAAAAAGUUAGUGGUGAAAUCCCAGAGCUUAACUCUGGAACUGCCAUUAAAACUUUUCAGCUAGAGUAUGAUAGAGGAAAGCAGAAUUUCUAGUGUAGAGGUGAAAUUCGUAGAUAUUAGAAAGAAUACCAAUUGCGAAGGCAGCUUUCUGGAUCAUUACUGACACUGAGGAACGAAAGCAUGGGUAGCGAAGAGGAUUAGAUACCCUCGUAGUCCAUGCCGUAAACGAUGUGUGUUAGACGUUGGAAAUUUAUUUUCAGUGUCGCAGCGAAAGCGAUAAACACACCGCCUGGGGAGUACGACCGCAAGGUUAAAACUCAAAUGAAUUGACGGGGACCCGCACAAGUAGUGGAGCAUGUGGUUUAAUUCGAAGAUACGCGCAGAACCUUACCAACACUUGACAUGUUCGUCGCGACUCUAAGAGAUUAGAGUUUUCGGUUCGGCCGGACGAAACACAGGUGCUGCAUGGCUGUCGUCAGCUCGUGUCGUGAGAUGUUGGGUUAAGUCCCGCAACGAGCGCAACCCUCACUUUUAGUUGCCAUCAUUUAGUUGGGCACUCUGAAAGAACUGCCAGUGAUAAGCUGGAGGAAGGUGGGGAUGACGUCAAGUCCUCAUGGCCCUUACGUGUUGGGCUACACACGUGCUACAAUGGUAUCUACAACAGGAAGCAAGACUGCGAGGUCAAGCAAAUCCUUAAAAGAUACCUCAGUUCGGAUUGCACUCUGCAACUCGAGUGCAUGAAGCUGGAAUUACUAGUAAUCGUGGAUCAGCGUGCCACGGUGAAUGCGUUCCCGGGUCU
rnacentral:rRNA from 1 species